UUCAGCCGUAGGCCGUAGGGUUUGCUUUUACAAUUUCCUCUUCUCUGGUUGUUCCCUGUUCGACUAAGCCUGCUUGGCGCGUGAGAUAAAAUUUUGAACGAAUCGAUAAAAGAUUUCGGCUUUGUUCGGGACGGCUUUCUGACUGCCGUUCCUUCAAAUUGGAUCGGAAGUAACGACGACGACGGAAGGGAGCUCGCUCAUUGCGAAGCUUAUGCAGGAAGGCAAGAUGUGGGGUAUUACAUAUGCUGGGAACUCAGUUUUUCUAACAGCUCUAGGAUCUUUUGAACGCCACACAGGCUUCUUUAUCUACAGAUAGUUGGCCUCCAAUGACAUGCAAAGAGGUCUAUUCCUCUGAACAGUAGAGACUUCCUUUCGAGUGCCUAUGCUCUCCGAAUCGUUCAUGGAUAACCUUCCUGUGGAAGUUGUUGGUAACAUUCUAUCCCAUCUAGGAAGUGCAAGGAAAGUUGUGGUUGCCUCUUCAACUUGCCGCAAAUGGAGAGAAUCCUUUAGGAAGCACCUCCACACCCUUUGCUUUUCCUCUGAUGAUUUCCCUGCUUACCGUGAUCUCACUACCAGGCGGCUUGAAAUAAUCAUAACGCAGACUAUAUUCCAAACAAUCGGCCUUCAGUGCCUUUCGAUCCGUAUGGAUCAUGUACAGGAAUUCUCGGCUGCACCUGUGAUUGCUUGGCUCAUGUAUACGAGGGAAACCCUGAGGAGUCUAUCUUUCAAUGUUUGCACCGUGCCUACUGUGAACAUUUUGGAGAAAUGUGGUCGACAGAAACUUGAGGUGUUAGAUUUGGACCACAAUUCCGUCUUUGGGGUUGAACCAAGCUACCAGAGAUUUAAUUCACUGAGAUCUUUUUCCCUUAGACAUGCUAGUGUCUCCGCUUUAGAUUUGAGCCUGCUAUUAGCUGCCUGUCCAAAGAUAGAGACUCUCACACUUGUAUCGCUGGAAAUCGUGACAUCAGAUUCACUAUCAUCAAUGGAACUAAGCAGCCUAACAUUGAGGAGCUUAUAUGCCAAAGCAUUAGCUGUCGAUAAAAUAAUUUUGGAGGCUGAUAAUUUGGAGAAUUUGCAAUUAGAUACAUUAAAUCUUGACCUGUUUGAGCUAAUUGGAAAAGGUGCCUUGAAAAUUUUUAAGCUUGAUGAUGUCAGUAUCACACAUUUGGAUAUUGGUGAGAGCAUGGACCACUUGGAGGUCAUAGAUGUCAGCACCUUUACAAUCACCUGGUCAAAGUUCUACCAGAUGCUUUCCAGGUCAUCUAAACUUAGAAAACUCCGGCUUUGGGGUGUAGUUUUUGACGAUGAGGAUGAGAUGAUGGAUUCAGAGACUGUUGCUAUUUGCUUCCCUCACCUUAAGCAUCUUUGCUUAAGCUAUGACACAAGGGAUAGCUUGUUUAAUAAUGGUUUACAUGGCUCAUUAUCUCUUAAAAAUGUUACAACAUUGGAACUGGGAUGGUCGGUAAUAGGUGAGCACUUUGGUCAAUGGGUUUUCGGGAUGGUUGAUAGGUGUCCUAACCUUAAUAAGUUAGUCAUUCACGGUGUUCUAUCUGAGGCAAAGACUCGAGAAGAAUGCCAAAUGCUUGCAAAUUUUACCUCAUCUGUAUUUUCGGUCAUGAGGAAAUACGUACAUGUUGAUGUGCUUUUUGAAUAUGAAUGAGUAUAUUCCUGCAAAGGUUCAUAUCUUCGUUCUUCAUCAUUUGUACAAAGAUGCACAUCGUACUCAAGGUCCAACCUGACACGAAUAUUGUCGGGUUGCCCGGCAGCUGCCUCUUGCUCACUUUGUAACCAACUAAAUUAUCUCAAUUGCUUAACAUCUGGACUAUUGCUUCUGAAGUAAAGGUAAGGUGUGUUUGAAAUAGGGCAGUUACUUUGAUGAAUUCUUCCGUUGAAUAAAGAAGAGUUAGCUUUGAGUACUCAAUUCUGCUGGCUUUUCAGGUAAGCAUACGUUAAUGGAUUGAAUUUUUGGCCCAUGCUCAUUUUUUAAAAAUUUUAAAUAUUGUUUUAUCCAUCUCGUUGAAUAUUAAUAUAUCUAAAAGUAUUUUAUGUCAAAAAAUGUUAAAUAAACUAGCUGAUGAGCUGAUGAGCUGAUGAGUGACUGACUCGAAGUCGACUUAUUAACUCAUCAAGUUAAGAUAACGAGUUAUUUAUGCAGUUGAGCUUAAGAAGCUCACAAAUAUAUUUAACUCAUGACAGCCGUAAUCCUUGUGUUAAAUGCACAACAUCCUUCCUUUUUCAAUAUUAUGAAUAUCCAUCCCAUUUCAAUAUUUAUUUGCAGUUGAAACUGUUUGGAAAGAAUUUGACGCCUUGUUUGACAGUUAUGUUGUACUUAGUUGUUCAUAUUGAACCAUCUGCUAAGUCUACCAAUUCCACAACUUCUCAAAUUAGGUAUGAGAACCUUGCUUUUUGGUGUAACCCCUCCCCUAGUGCAGCUCUGGUUUACCUUUUUAAUGCAUCCUUCCGAACUAAACUUCAGUAGGUAAGCUCUCAAUUGUUUUGAUUUGAUUUAAAAUAUUAAUUAUUAUAAGAAAAAAAAAAAGAAUAAAAUUUAUAUCCGAAUAUUUCAAUACAAAUUAUCUUAGAACCAACAAAAAAUUAAUGAAUUUGCUAAGGGAUUAACUAUGUAAAAAAAGAGAGAAUCCCAAUUUCUUAAAUUUUGUCUCGUUCCACACUUUUGGCAGCACUCAUGGCUGCAGCGCCGGCGGUAGGCUCUUUUGCUCGCUGGAUUCCUCUUGGAUUGUCUUCUUCUUCCUCCCGAAACCUAGAUGUCUCUAAAUUUAGGCAAGGUGGUGGUAUCUCUCAAUAGAAAUAUGUCUCAAAUGCUCCACUGGUAAUUAAAUAACCUUUGUCUCAUAUUUUGAAAUCGUUGUCCCCGGUUGCAGGCAAAGGCAAGAGCAUUGAAAUGGAUAAUGGUUUGCCGCCUCAUUAUACUCCUACUUAUGGAGGUAAGAUGCGUGUAGAUAGACCUAAUGAUUUUGAAGCUUCUUCUUCCUCAGGAAUGAAGUUUUUUGUGAAUAGUUUGGUAAUAUUAUUUACAAAUCUUAUAUGGUGUAUGUUGAGGUUUUGCCUGUGAAAGUUAAUUGUGAUAAGGUUUCAGCCAA